AUUGAACGCUGGCGGCAUGCCUUACACAUGCAAGUCGAACGGCAGCACGGGAGCAAUCCUGGUGGCGAGUGGCGAACGGGUGAGUAAUGUAUCGGAACGUACCUUUCAGUGGGGGAUAACGUAGCGAAAGUUACGCUAAUACCGCAUAUUUUGUGAGCAGGAAAGCAGGGGAUCGCAAGACCUUGCGCUGAUUGAGCGGCCGAUAUCAGAUUAGCUAGUUGGUGAGGUAAAGGCUCACCAAGGCGACGAUCUGUAGCGGGUCUGAGAGGAUGAUCCGCCACACUGGAACUGAGACACGGUCCAGACUCCUACGGGAGGCAGCAGUGGGGAAUUUUGGACAAUGGGCGCAAGCCUGAUCCAGCCAUGCCGCGUGAGUGAAGAAGGCCUCGGUUGUAAG
rnacentral:rRNA from 1 species